rnacentral:rRNA from 1 species
UACGUAGGGAGCAAGCGUUGUCCGGAAUCAUUGGGCGUAAAGCGCGCGUAGGUGGCUUCGUAAGUCCGUUGUGAAAGUCAAAGGCUCAACCUUUGAAAGCCGAUGGAUACUGUAGAGCUAGAGUCCGGAAGAGGCGAGUGGAAUUCCUGGUGUAGCGGUGGAAUGCGCAGAUAUCAGGAGGAACACCAAUAGCGAAGGCAGCUCGCUGGGACGUGACUGACACUAAGGCGCGAAAGCGUGGGGAGCGAACAGG